GCUACCUGCAGUCGAGCGGGAUCCCCUUCGGGGGUGAGAGCGGCGCACGGGUGCGUAACGCGUAUGCAACCUGCCUUGUACAGGGGGAUAGCCCAUGGAAACGUGGAUUAAUACCCCAUAGCAUCAUAUUUUCGCAUGUUAGUAUGAUUAAAGCUUAGGCGGUACAAGAUGGGCAUGCAUAGGAUUAGCUAGUAGGUGAGGUAACGGCUCACCUAGGCGACGAUCCUUAGGGGUUCUGAGAGGAUUAUCCCCCACACUGGAACUGAGACACGGUCCAGACUCCUACGGGAGGCAGCAGUGAGGAAUAUUGGUCAAUGGGCGCGAGCCUGAACCAGCCAUCCCGCGUGCAGGAUGACGGCCCUAUGGGUUGUAAACUGCUUUUCUACUCCAAGAAACCACCUUACGUGUAAGGUGUUGCCGGUAGAGUAGGAAUAAGCAUCGGCUAACUCCGUGCCAGCAGCCGCGGUAAUACGGAGGAUGCAAGCGUUAUCCGGAUUCAUUGGGUUUAAAGGGUGCGUAGGUGGGUUUGUAAGUCAGUGGUGAAAUGCUGCCGCUUAACGGUAGAAUUGCCAUUGAUACUGCGAAUCUUGAAUAUGGUUGAGGUAGGCGGAAUGUGUUGUGUAGCGGUGAAAUGCAUAGAUAUGACACAGAACACCGAUUGCGAAGGCAGCUUACUAAGCCAUGAUUGACGCUGAGGCACGAAAGCGUGGGGAUCGAACAGGAUUAGAUACCCUGGUAGUCCACGCCGUAAACGAUGAUCACUCGCUGUUUGCGAUACACAGCAAGCGGCUGAGCGAAAGCAUUAAGUGAUCCACCUGGGGAGUACGAUCGCAAGGUUGAAACUCAAAGGAAUUGACGGGGGCCCGCACAAGCGGAGGAACAUGUGGUUUAAUUCGAUGAUACGCGAGGAACCUUACCUGGGCUUAAUGUAGAUUGCAUGAGUGGAAACACUUCUUCCCUUCGGGCUAUUUACAGUGCUGCAUGAUGUCGUCAGCUCGUGCCGUGAGGUGUCGGUAGUCCCAUAACGAGCGCAACCCUACCGUUAGUUGCCAACAAGGUGAGCUGGGACCUCUAGCGG
rnacentral:rRNA from 1 species